rnacentral:rRNA from 1 species
CAAACGACUCUCGGCAACGGAUAUCUCGGCUCAUGCAUCGAUGAAGAACGUAGCGAAAUGCGAUACUUGGUGUGAAUUGCAGAAUCCCGUGAACCAUCGAGUUUUUGAACGCAAGUUGCGCCCGAAGCCAUUCGGCCGAGGGCACGCCUGCCUGGGCGUCACGC